GGGCGGUUAGCUCAGUUGGUUAGAGCGCGUGCCUUACAAGCACGAGGUCGCAGGUUCGAGCCCUGCACUGCCCACCA
rnacentral:tRNA from 1 species